rnacentral:rRNA from 1 species
AAUGAGGGGGAUCAGCUCAUAGCGUAUAUUAAAGUUGUUGCAGUUAAAAAGCUCGUAGUUGAAUUUCGGGAUUGACACAUCGGUCGUGCCUUAAGGGGUAUGAACUGGUGUAGUCAAUUUCUCACCUUCUGGAGAACCGCGAUGCCCUUAAUUGGGUGUCACGGGGAACCAGGACCUUUACUUUGAAAAAAUUAGAGUGUUUAAAGCAGGCAUUUUGCUUGAAUACAUUAGCAUGGAAUAAUAAAAUAGGACGGCAUGAUUCUAUUUUGUUGGUUUCUAGGAUCACCGUAAUGAUUAAUAGGGAUAGUUGGGGGCAUUAGUAUUCAAUUGUCAGAGGUGAAAUUCUUGGAUUUAUUGAAGACUAACUACUGCGAAAGCAUUUGCCAAGGAUGUUUUCAUUAAUCAAGAACGAAAGUUAGGGGAUCGAAGACGAUCAGAUACCGUCGUAGUCUUAACCAUAAACUAUGCCGACUAGGAAUCAGACGAUGUUAAUUUUUUAAUGACUCGUUUGGCACCUUACGGGAAACCAAAGUUUUGGGGUUACAAAAAA